rnacentral:rRNA from 1 species
GAUGAACGCUGGCGGCGUGCCUAAUACAUGCAAGUCGAGCGAACGGACGAGAAGCUUGCUUCUCUGAUGUUAGCGGCGGACGGGUGAGUAACACGUGGAUAACCUACCUAUAAGACUGGGAUAACUUCGGGAAACCGGAGCUAAUACCGGAUAAUAUUUUGAACCGCAUGGUUCAAAAGUGAAAGACGGUCUUGCUGUCGCUUAUAGAUGGAUCCGCGCUGCAUUGGCUAGUUGGUAAGGUAACGGCUUACCAAGGCAACGAUGCAUAGCCGACCUGAGAGGGUGAUCGGCCACACUGGAACUGAGACACGGUCCAGACUCCUACGGGAGGCAGCAGUAGGGAAUCUUCCGCAAUGGGCGAAAGCCUGACGGAGCAACGCCGCGUGAGUGAUGAAGGUCUUCGGAUCGUAAAACUCUGUUAUUAGGGAAGAACAUAUGUGUAAGUAACUGUGCACAUCUUGACGGUACCUAAUCAGAAAGCCACGGCUAACUACGUGCCAGCAGCCGCGGUAAUACGUAGGUGGCAAGCGUUAUCCGGAAUUAUUGGGCGUAAAGCGCGCGUAGGCGGUUUUUUAAGUCUGAUGUGAAAGCCCACGGCUCAACCGUGGAGGGUCAUUGGAAACUGGAAAACUUGAGUGCAGAAGAGGAAAGUGGAAUUCCAUGUGUAGCGGUGAAAUGCGCAGAGAUAUGGAGGAACACCAGUGGCGAAGGCGACUUUCUGGUCUGUAACUGACGCUGAUGUGCGAAAGCGUGGGGAUCAAACAGGAUUAGAUACCCUGGUAGUCCACGCCGUAAACGAUGAGUGCUAAGUGUUAGGGGGUUUCCGCCCCUUAGUGCUGCAGCUAACGCAUUAAGCACUCCGCCUGGGGAGUACGACCGCAAGGUUGAAACUCAAAGGAAUUGACGGGGACCCGCACAAGCGGUGGAGCAUGUGGUUUAAUUCGAAGCAACGCGAAGAACCUUACCAAAUCUUGACAUCCUUUGACAACUCUAGAGAUAGAGCUUUCCCCUUCGGGGGACAAAGUGACAGGUGGUGCAUGGUUGUCGUCAGCUCGUGUCGUGAGAUGUUGGGUUAAGUCCCGCAACGAGCGCAACCCUUAAGCUUAGUUGCCAUCAUUAAGUUGGGCACUCUAAGUUGACUGCCGGUGACAAACCGGAGGAAGGUGGGGAUGACGUCAAAUCAUCAUGCCCCUUAUGAUUUGGGCUACACACGUGCUACAAUGGACAAUACAAAGGGCAGCGAAACCGCGAGGUCAAGCAAAUCCCAUAAAGUUGUUCUCAGUUCGGAUUGUAGUCUGCAACUCGACUACAUGAAGCUGGAAUCGCUAGUAAUCGUAGAUCAGCAUGCUACGGUGAAUACGUUCCCGGGUCU